AGCAGCCGCGGUAAUUCCAGCUCCAAUAGCGUAUAUUAAAGUUGUUGCAGUUAAAAAGCUCGUAGUUGAAUUUCGGGGUUAGUAGGUUGGUCAUGCCUCUGGUAUGUACUGGUCUCACUGAUUCCUCCUUCCUGAUGAACCUUAAUGCCAUUUAUUUGGUGUUUUGGGGAAUUUGGACUGUUACUUUGAAAAAUUAGAGUGUUUAAAGCAAGCUAACGCUUGAAUACAUUAGCAUGGAAUAAUGAAAUAGGACGUUCGAUCCUAUUUUGUUGGUUUCUAGGAUUGACGUAAUGAUUAAUAGGGAUAGUUGGGGGCAUUAGUAUUCAGUUGUCAGAGGUGAAAUUCUUGGAUUUAUUGAAGACUAACUACUGCGAAAGCAUUUGCCAAGGAUGUUCUCAUUAAUCAAGAACGAAAGUUAGGGGAUCGAAGACGAUCAGAUACCGUCGUAGUCUUAACCAUAAACUAUGCCGACUAGGGAUCGGAUGAUGUUAAUUUUUAAUUGACUCAUUCGGCGCCUUAA
rnacentral:rRNA from 1 species